rnacentral:tRNA from 1 species
GCAUCCGUAGUUCAAUGGAUAGAAUAUGAGUUUCCGAAGCUCAUGAUACAGGUUCAAUUCCUGCCGGAUGCGCCA